CCCUAUGGGGUGCAGCAGGCUUUGAUCCGUAUCUUGGAUUCUACCAUCAGCCCAGGUCCGGCCGUCCUGCUCUGGCUCUGGACAUGAUGGAAGAGUUCCGACCAAUAAUUGCCGAUUCUGUGGCAUUCAGGCUAUUCAAUAAAAAGGAGCUGAAGGAUACGGAUUUCAUCAAGACAGGCAUCGGAAUAUCUCUCACCGCGGAGGCGAAAAGAAAACUGAUUGCUGGAUAUGAGCAGCGGAUGCAGACUGAGAUCGUUCAUCCCAUAUUUGGCUACAAGGUGAGCUAUCGCAGAGUGCUUGAGAUACAGGCCAGACUGCUGUCCAGGGUCUUAUCCGGGGAGCUUUCAGAGUAUCCGGCUUUCGUCAUCAGGUGAUCUGAAUUGACCUCAUUAAACUGCUAUAUAGUGAGCUACGAUAUAAGAGAGCCCAAGAGGCUAUACAGAGUUCAUAAGGCAAUGCUUGGUUUUGGAGAGC
rnacentral:rRNA from 1 species